rnacentral:lncRNA from 1 species
UUCCCAAAUGGUCCCCAGCUUCCCCGUUCACUGAAGGCCCUGCAGUCGGGAACAGUCAGGACUUUGCACCCAGUUGUUGUGGGUGUUUGGCCAACCCUUCCUCUUGUGUGAUUCAUGGACCUGCAGCAUUGCGUCACCUGUGAGCUUUUGGAAUUGAAGACUCUCAGGGCUCACCCGGGAGGACCUGCUGGGCCAGAAUCUGCAUUUUAACAAGAUGCCUGGGUGAUCUGCAUACACGUUCAGAUCUGAGAAGUGCUGGAUCUCACUCUGUAGCCCAGGCUGGAGUGCAGUGUUGUGAUCCCGGUUCACUGCAGCCUCUACCUCCUGUGUUCAAGCAAUCCUCCCACCUCAGCCUCCUGAGUAGCUGAGACCACAGAGAACAUGUGCCCAUGUCUGGAGAGUUUUGGUUGUUGCAGCUGGAGGAGGUGGUGCUACUGGCAUCUAAUGGGUAGAGGCCACGGAUGCUGCUAAACAUCCUACAAUGCCCCGGACAACUCCCACUAAGACAAAGUAAUGAUCCAGCCCCAAAUGUCAAUAGUGCUGAAAGUGAGAGACCCUGAUUCCAUCUUAGAGCUUAGAGAUCAUCCAAGCACAUUUGGCCAAAUUGUUUUUGCUACUGUCCCAUGAAAAAAAGACAGACUCAUGACUGAUGGCAACAUCGAUGGGAAUUUUGUUUACCUCUU